AAGGAUUUAAGUUAAUUAUCAAACUUGUAACCUUCAAAGUUAUCAAUAAAGUUCAAUAUUCUUUAAGCCUUA
rnacentral:tRNA from 1 species